CCGAAUAGGAACAGCUCCGGUCUACAGCUCCCAGCGUGAGCGACGCAGAAGACGGGUGAUUUCUGCAUUUCCAUCUGAGAAGCACUGAGUGGUUCCCUGAUUCAGUGGAAGCCAGACAUCCUAUCUAAACCUCUAGAACACCAGGGUCCCGGCUGCUGAGAACUCCAGGCACACGAGGCUGCUUGGGAAAGACUGGAGAAGUGCCAGGAGGAUUAAUUACAGCAGUUAAUGUUUCCAUUUGAAAGGAGAUGAUACUCUGAUCGAAUUAUACUCUGCUCCUUGCCCCAUCUAAUAUUUAUUUGCACAUUAAAGAUAACACGACUGGCUAGAAUUGGCUUCUGAAUAUGUGUGCUCCUUAUCAAGGCCACAGUUUACAGCUUUGCUAGGGAGAGCUAUGGUAAUGAACUACUUGAUCUUUUUUUUUUUUUUUUUUUGAGACGGAGCCUCGCUCUGUCGUCCAGGCUGGAGUGCAGUGGCGCGAUCUCGGCUCACUGCAACCUCCACCUCCCAGGUUCAAGCAGUUCUCCUACCUCAGCCUCCUGCGUAGCUGGGACUACUACAGGCGUGCGCCACCAUGCCCAGCUAAUUUUUGUAUUUUUAGUACAGACAGGAUUUCACCAUGUUGGCCAGGACGGUCCCAAUCUCUUGACCUCGUGAUCGGCCCUCCUCGGCCUCCCAAAGUUCUGGGAUUACAGGCGUGAGCCACUGCGCCCA
rnacentral:lncRNA from 10 species